rnacentral:rRNA from 1 species
CAUGCAAGUCGAGGGGCAUCAUGAAUCAAGCUUGCUUGAUUUGAUGGCGACCGGCGCACGGGUGCGUAACACGUAUCCAAUCUGCCCAUGGCUCAGGGAUAGCCUUUCGAAAGAAAGAUUAAUACCUGAUGGUUUCACUCCUCCGCAUGGAGAUGUGAAUAAAGAUUUAUCGGCGAUGGAUGAGGAUGCGUCCGAUUAGGUAGUAGGCGGGGUAACGGCCCACCUAGCCUUCGAUCGGUAGGGGCUCUGAGAGGAGGAUCCCCACACUGGAACUGAGACACGGUCCAGACUCCUACGGGAGGCAGCAGUGAGGAAUAUUGGUCAAUGGGCGGAUGCCUGAACCAGCCAAGUAGCGUGAGGGACGACUGCCCUAUGGGUUGUAAACCUCUUUUGUUUGGGAAUAAACUGCCGCACGCGUGCGGCACUGCAUGUACCUUACGAAUAAGCAUCGGCUAAUUCCGUGCC